rnacentral:tRNA from 1 species
AAGGAAGUAGCUUAGUGGUAGAGCGCAUGCUUAGCAUGCAUGAGGUCCUGGGUUCAGUCCCCGGUGCUCUGU